rnacentral:lncRNA from 1 species
AGAUCUCAUCUCUGGGUUAGAGUAAACUAUCAAGACUUAAAACUUACUUACUUUACCUUUUACCUUGGGACUUGUAACCAUCACUUCUGUCUUGAGUAGUUAAAAGAUAGAACAGUCUAGUCAAGUGCCAUGUCUCUUAUUCUUGAUCAGCUAUAGCUCUGGAGUUUUUGUAGAUUUUCAAAUAAAACUCAGAGAUUCCUUGUAUGACUCUCUUAGAUCUCUCUUUUAUGGUAUUUCUGGAUCCUUACCAAGGCAGUGAUGGUAUAUGCCUUCUCUCAAAAUAUGUAGUAUUUGUGGUAUAAGGCAUAGUGACAUUGCCUUCUCUCUCAUCCUACUCUAAUAAGGCUUUAAUAUCUGGAUCUUAUAGGUCGGAGAUAAAGUAUACAUACUUACAAGACAUUUGUUGCAUAGUCAAACCAUGGAUCCAAAGAAACAAAUCACUAAGUCAAAUCAAGAUGUGCAUGUGUGGCGAAUGAAUGGUGUAUGGUGAUGAUGCUGAUAACAAUAGUGAAAGUCUAAUUUUAUUUUUUGCUCUUUUGAGGGGAUACAUACCUUCCUUGCUCUUUUAAACUUUAUGAGGAGAAUGAGAUGCUCUAUAUUUUUCUUUUUCUUUCCUCUCAGGUGAGCAUCUUGUACGCCUAAUUCUACUGUCGGACACUUGUCUAUUUUUACCUCUCGUCUCACUUUUUCUUUUCUUUCUUUCGAGGUUCCAGGCACAUGCUCCUUUUAUUUCCUCGUAUCUCUUUUUUUUAGAGCACUCAUCUCAUGAAAUAAUAUAGCAAGUGGCAGUAACCAAGAUAACUUGAGCAUUUAUUUCAUAGUGGAAAGCAAAAAUGUUUUUGGCUAUUCUCUCUCAGAUUAGGAGUAGAAUGUUUUUGGGUGGUUCUGGAGAUGGAAAUGGAUGGAUAUAUGUGGAUGGUACUUCCGGAAUAAAAGCAGCAUAUGUGAGUGAACGUGCAAGUGAAUCUUGAUUUUAACCACAUGACAAGCUCCUAAGGGUCUACACAGCUUGACCACACUCAAUGCUCAUAAGCAGUAAAAAGUAAAUAUGUGGCUCAAAGUCUAGCAAGCAUGUAUAUAUGGCUGUG